AACGAACGCUGGCGGCAUGCCUAACACAUGCAAGUCGAACGAAGCCCUCGGGUCUCGUGGCGCACGGGUGCGUAACGCGUGGGAACCUGCCCUUAGGUUCGGAAUAACUCCCCGAAAGGGGUGCUAAUACCGGAUAAUGUCUUCGGAACCAAGAUUUAUCGCCUUUGGGUGGGCACGCGUGGGCUUAGCUAGUUGGUAGGGUAAAAGCCUACCAAGGCGACGAUACAUAGCUGGUCUGAGAGGAUGAUCCGCCACCCUGGGACUGGGACACGGCCCAGACUCCUACGGAAGGCAGCAGUGGGGAAUGAUGGACGCUGGGCGAAAGCCUGAUCCAGCCAUGCCGCGUGGGUGAUGAAGGCCUUAGGGUUGUAAAGCUCUUUUACCCGGGAUGAUAAUGACGGUACCGGGAGAAUAAGCCCCGGCUAACUACGUG
rnacentral:rRNA from 1 species